UACGUAGGGGGCAAGCGUUGUCCGGAUUUAUUGGGCGUAAAGAGCGUGUAGGCGGCCAUGUAGGUCCGUUGUGAAAACUCGAGGCUCAACCUCGAGACGCCGAUGGAAACCAUGUGGCUAGAGUCCGGAAGAGGAGAGUGGAAUUCCUGGGUGUAGCGGUGAAAUGCGCAGAUAUCAGGAGGAACACCGGUGGCGAAGGCGGGUCUCUGGGCCGACACGUGACGCUGAGGAGCGAAAGCGUGGGGAGCGAACAGG
rnacentral:rRNA from 1 species